GAUGAACGCUGGCGGUAUGCUUAACACAUGCAAGUCGAACGGACUCUUCGGAGUUAGUGGCGGACGGGUGAGUAACGCGUGAGAAUCUGGCUUUGGGUUCGGGACAACCACUGGAAACGGUGGCUAAUACCGGAUGUGCCGAGAGGUAAAAGAGAAAUUGCCUGAAGAUGAGCUCGCGUCUGAUUAGCUAGUUGGUGAGGUAAAGGCUCACCAAGGCAGCGAUCAGUAGCUGGUCUGAGAGGAUGACCAGCCACACUGGGACUGAGACACGGCCCAGACUCCUACGGGAGGCAGCAGUGGGGAAUUUUCCGCAAUGGGCGAAAGACUGACGGAGCAAUACCGCGUGAGGGAAGAAGGCUCUUGGGUUGUAAACCUCUUUUCUUAGGGAAGAACAAAAUGACGGUACCUAAGGAAUCAGCAUCGGCUAACUCCGUG
rnacentral:rRNA from 1 species